rnacentral:lncRNA from 1 species
GAAUCUUGAGCAGCCAGAAUGCAAUAUCUACAGCCCCAACUAAAACGGCAAUAAUAAUAUAUCUUCUCAUCGGUAUAACUAAGUAAAACUAUGAAACAACAUGAAUUUAUGAAAAUACUAAAAGAAUCUUCAUAAACUGUUUCCAGUCUUUAUUUUACCAAGAUUUGUAUUAAUUAAAUGACAUAAAUUUUGAAUUAAAGUACGCAUUUAAGUGGUAAAGUGCAAUUCAGCAAAGACAUCGGUCAAUACAAAAUUAGUCAUGAAAGUCAUCAAUUUAAUUAAUAUGCAAAGAACCCAUAUUGGAUGGAGAAAUACCAACACAAGUUUAAUGAAACUACAUUAGAUCGAGAAAUAAAAAUGAGUUCUCAUACCAUAAAACCAUGCUCUCUUUUAUUUUCCAUUUUCAGCAUUCAACUCCUACCAUAGAUAAGCAAAAGCAUGUAAACAAGCCUUUUAAUGAAAGGCUGCAUUGGGAAGUCAAAAAAAUGCUAGUGCAACAAGGCACAUUUUCCAUCUUCAACCGCUAAUGAGUCAUGACCAUAGAAACACAGAGAUAUAUUUCCCAUUAAAUAUUUCUCUGAUGAAAAAUCACGAAAUUCAAAACUUAAGCUUCUACAUACCUACAGACCAAACGUUUUGAAAGUUUUGUACCAUAGCCACAGAACUUCAACAUACAAGCGUCUAAAACCACGCACAUAAUCAAUCAAGUAAAACUCUCAAAAUAAUUUAGGUUUCAUUUCAAAACCAAAAAUAUUUCAUUUGGAAAACUGAGGGUGUAUAUUAAUAUGCCUAAAAGAUCACUUAACUCUAUAACCAAAACUCGAUGCUGAACUAUCCUUCAUUUUGAUAUUGAAAAAUAUUUUCAAAAUUCACUUCUUUCCUAAAACCCACGUUUCUUGAGCCCUCAAAUUUGCAGCAAAAAAAUUUCUUGAUCAUGUGAUUUUUCUGUUUAAUAUUGGAGAUUUUGAUUAUGUGAAUGUUGAAUAUUUGUAAUAUUUGUCAUGGAUUCUUGAAAUCUUGCUUUCUGUCAAUUAGUUAAACAAUUAGAGAUGAUUUUCUAGUGUUCUACCAAUUUGUAAGAAUUAGCAUUUAUUUUCUUAUCAAUUAGUAUUUAAUUGUCACUUGUAAUUUAUUUUAGUGUGAAGUGCCAAUAGAGAGAUUCUUUAAAAAAAAAUAUUUCGUAGAAAAUGUUGAUGAGGAGAUAUCGAAUAAAAUGAAUUUUGAUGUUGCACAAUUUGGUACUAAUCCUAGAAUAAGGAAAAAGAUAAUCAUCUCAUUAGUGUUAUCGCUAUGUCAUUUUUAGCAUUGUCAUAAUAUCAUUAAAACCAUAAUCGAAAAGUUCGACCUUGAUUAGAUUUUGCGAGCAUUGGACAAAAUUCCUAGCUCCGACCCUGCUCUCUAAUUCGUGAAUAAAUGAAGCAUAGCAAUUUCUACCACAAAGAGAACCAAACAAAACUAUAACCAUAGCUAGUAAUUUAACAGCAAACAAAUGAUACUUUUUACCACCAUCAUCAUCAUUUCCUUCAGAAUCUUACCCUUCUUAACUCGUAUAGAUUUCCCUGAAUGCGAGCGUCGCACAUGCCUUACAGCCACGCCACCUGCUGCAGCAGACUGCCCACCAUUCGGAGCCUUGAUGUUGUGGUGCUCAGACAGCACUAAUGGCGUCUGACUUGGAGACCUUGGGCCAGUAGCUUUCGGUGAUGAGGACAACGACAACGAAGAAAUGACCUCCGCAUUCUCCGUCGCUAUUCUCAACAUCUCCCUCUGCCCCUCCGUCAAAAACCCCUCUCUGCUCGCCAUUUCUUCUCCCUAACCAAACUAAAUGAACAAACAAAUUCAUCAAAAACUAACUAUAUUCAAAACAUCAAAUCGUUUCAUUAUAACGUAUAUUCCCAUACAAUGCCAUUUUAACGUCUUUAGCAAUUAAUCCUUCAAAAUAUUUCCGACCCAGAAAUAAAAAAUAAAAAUAAAAUAAAAAAUUUUAACAUUCUAAAACUGGGAACCAUUUAAUUUUCUAAUCAAUUACCUGUAUGAAUCGUGAAGAGAACUGCCACUGUUCUUGGCUCGGAUCUCGAGCCAAGAAAGGAAAAGCAAUAAACAACAACCAAUCAACAACUCCGAUCUUGCUUCAAAACACGCAGAAACCCACUUCACUGUGCGUAUUCCGAUUGAAUUAGCUUCCAAAUUUAGGGAUGGUUCACGAAAUCUGUCUGUAAUUACCUAGAAGAAACUCGAGUUUUUGUCAUAGACAGGAAAUGGAUGAGAAUGAAACGUUUAUAUAGGGAGGCUAUGGUUAUAUGG